AAGUGGUACGCGAGCUGGGUUUAGAACGUCGUGAGACAGUUCGGUCCCUAUCUGCCGUGGACGUUGGAGAUUUGAGGAAAGCUGCUCCUAGUACGAGAGGACCGGAGUGGACGAACCGCUGGUGUUCGGGUUGUGUCGCCAGACGCAUUGCCCGGUAGCUAUGUUCGGACAGGAUAACCGCUGAAAGCAUCUAAGCGGGAAGCCCCUUCCAAGAUGAGAUCUCCCUGGACCCUUGAGGUCCCUGAAGAGCCGUUCAAGACCAGGACGUUGAUAGGUCGGGUGUGUAAGCGCUGCGAGGCGUUGAGCUAACCGAUACUAAUUGCUCGUGAGGCUUGACUAUAUAACACCC
rnacentral:rRNA from 1 species